rnacentral:rRNA from 1 species
AUUGAACGCUGGCGGCAGGCUUAACACAUGCAAGUCGAACGGUAACAGGAGAAAGCUUGCUUUCUUGCUGACGAGUGGCGGACGGGUGAGUAAUGCUUGGGAAUCUGGCUUAUGGAGGGGGAUAACGACGGGAAACUGUCGCUAAUACCGCGUAGUGUCGAGAGACGAAAGUGCGGGACUGAGAGGCCGCAUGCCAUAGGAUGAGCCCAAGUGGGAUUAGGUAGUUGGUGGGGUAAAGGCCUACCAAGCCUGCGAUCUCUAGCUGGUCUGAGAGGAUGACCAGCCACACUGGAACUGAGACACGGUCCAGACUCCUACGGGAGGCAGCAGUGGGGAAUAUUGCGCAAUGGGGGGAACCCUGACGCAGCCAUGCCGCGUGAAUGAAGAAGGCCUUCGGGUUGUAAAGUUCUUUCGGUAUUGAGGAAGGUUGAUGUGUUAAUAGCACAUCAAAUUGACGUUAAAUACAGAAGAAGCACCGGCUAACUCCGUGCCAGCAGCCGCGGUAAUACGGAGGGUGCGAGCGUUAAU